rnacentral:rRNA from 1 species
GGAUGGACUCGCGGCCUAUCAGCUUGUUGGUGAGGUAAUGGCUCACCAAGGCGACGACGGGUAGCCGGCCUGAGAGGGUGACCGGCCACACUGGGACUGAGACACGGCCCAGACUCCUACGGGAGGCAGCAGUGGGGAAUAUUGCACAAUGGGCGAAAGCCUGAUGCAGCGACGCCGCGUGAGGGAUGACGGCCUUCGGGUUGUAAACCUCUUUCAGUAGGGAAGAAGCGAAAGUGACGGUACCUGCAGAAGAAGCGCCGGCUAACUACGUGCCAGCAGCCGCGGUAAUACGUAGGGCGCAAGCGUUAUCCGGAAUUAUUGGGCGUAAAGAGCUCGUAGGCGGUUUGUCGCGUCUGCCGUGAAAGUCCGGGGCUCAACUCCGGAUCUGCGGUGGGUACGGGCAGACUAGAGUGAUGUAGGGGAGACUGGAAUUCCUGGUGUAGCGGUGAAAUGCGCAGAUA